GGUCAGUGAUGAGUGUUGGCAUGUAUUAUCUGAUCUGGAGCUGAUGUCUGUUACCACUUUAGCUCUAGAAUUACUCAGACCCA
rnacentral:snoRNA from 1 species